rnacentral:pre_miRNA from 1 species
UAAACGCAAAUUUGUAUGGAGUUAGAACGUUUGCCUACGUUUGCCGCUAGGGGCGCUGUAGCAACGGUAUACAAAUUAGAGUUA